CAUUGUGAGGUGGAAUCUGAAGGAAGUCGGCGGCAAAGCCUUGGUCUGAGGUACACGAAUCGUAUUUGAGGCUUAACUCUAUGGGUAAACUUGCAUAUCAAAGUAAAGCCCUAAACUAUCCGAAAUAGAGAAAGUAAAUGCGGCAGAUAUAUGAGGCGAAAGUACGU
rnacentral:ncRNA from 1 species